rnacentral:lncRNA from 1 species
AGACUCUGUUGUCAUCUUUGCUUUUCCGUGAGAGUGUAUUCUGUUCUGUUAGCGUUGGUUGCUUGUUUUUGAAUUUGGUGUUUGUUGUUGUUUCAUGUAUUGUUAUUGGCUUUCUUUGAUGUGCGUGGGGUUUUUCUUUGUUCUUUUUUUCAGUUUGGUGCUCUUUUUUUUUUUUUGCUGUUCACUUCUUUGCACUGUAUUUUUUUCCCAGUAGCGUUUCUUUUCCUUUCUCUUGUACUAGAAAUUGUAGCUCCUAACACUAAUCCAAAUGUAUAAACCACAAGUCUGAACCACACAGGUGUAUGGGAACUGUAUAAUCACAGCCUGACCCUCUGUUUGACCACCUGAGGCGAGUGCUGAGUCAGCUGCAGGGGCACAGGUGAUGGCAGUUUCACCUGAGUGACCGGAAGGGGUGGACCCUGGCUGCAGCCCUGCUAGACCCCAUGUAAGGGCUGACUCCCAAGGAGGAAGGCUCUCUCUCUGGAGGUCACCCUUAGUGGAGCUGUUCUGCGCGCCCAGGGUACGGGAAAGCAGUGCGGAGGGAACGUGUGUGGUGAGAUGCUGAGGAGAGAUUGCCUUCCUUGCCCCAGCAGGCUGCUUGUGUCCUGGUGAUGCACGGUGACGAGAAGGCUGCUGUUCUGAACAGCACAAGGCAACAGAGGCGUUGACAGCAGCGAUGGAGAUGGAGAUGUUCAGAGUGGAGGAGCUGUUGGCUCGCUGCAGCCACCCCAGCAUCCCUGGAGGUGGGCCUGGGGGGGGGCUUUGGUGCUGCACAAACGACUGCAGGCAGAGGUGUAGGAAAGCGAACGCCAUACGUUUAAUAAUUUAACGUACAAAACAGCAAAUAAAUGAUUAUAUUCCC